GCACCGCUAGUCUAAUGAUUAGGAUAUCUGCCUUCCAAGCAGAUGGUCCGGGCUCGAUUCCCGGGCGGUGCA
rnacentral:tRNA from 1 species